CGCUUAAAAGCUAGCUCAAACUCUAACUUAACAU
rnacentral:rRNA from 1 species